AAUGGGCGAAAGCCUGAUCCAGCCAUGCCGCGUGUGUGAAGAAGGUCUUCGGAUUGUAAAGCACUUUAAGUUGGGAGGAAGGGCAUUAAGCUAAUACCUUGACUGUUUUGACGUUACCGACAGAAUAAGCACCGGCUAACUUCGUGCCAGCAGCCGCGGUAAUACGAAGGGUGCAAGCGUUAAUCGGAAUUACUGGGCGUAAAGCGCGCGUAGGUGGUUCGUUAAGUUGGAUGUGAAAGCCCCGGGCUCAACCUGGGAACUGCAUCCAAAACUGGCGAGCUAGAGUACGGUAGAGGGUGGUGGAAUUUCCUGUGUAGCGGUGAAAUGCGUAGAUAUAGGAAGGAACACCAGUGGCGAAGGCGACCACCUGGACUGAUACUGACACUGAGGUGCGAAAGCGUGGGGAGCAAACAGGAUNAGAUACCCUGGUAGUCCACGCCGUAAACGAUGUCAACUAGCCGUUGGGUUCCUUGAGAUCUUAGUGGCGCAGCUAACGCAUUAAGUUGACCGCCUGGGGAGUACGGCCGC
rnacentral:rRNA from 1 species